rnacentral:rRNA from 1 species
GUCAACGACCAUACCAUGUUGAACACACCGGUUCUCGUCCGAUCACCGAAGUUAAGCAACAUCGGGCAUGGCUAAGUACUUAGGUGGGUGACCACUUGGGAAAACCAUGUGUCGUUGGCA